GGCCACCACUGGCUAUUCAUAUACGAGCUGGUCACGUGUUGUCAGUAUAAAUUUCAUGGCGGGUGUGUGGUUUGUUUGACCGAAGACGACACACUCCAGCCAUUUUGUAGCUUACGCCACUGUGUGACGUCUAGCAGCACUUGCUGUGCUACAUGAACCGCAUUCCCAGCAAGAGCAUCAGCCACAGCGACAAGGUAUUGUUCCUGCUGUCACACACCCCAGGUAAUGCACACAGAAAACGAGUGGCUGCCAGGCACGUGCCAAAUCCGCCGCAGUUGAGCUUCUGCAGUAGGGGUGUACUCCUCUGCCAGCAUCUCUUCCCCAGAAGCUAGUUCAGAGUUCCUUGAUUCCAACUGUACUUCCUCUGAGCUGCAAGAGAUUUUACAACAAACGCAAAUGUUAAUGGAUGACACUGCAGAAAUAACAUUAGCCACUUACUCAGCAGUUUUGGUGCCCCAAAGUGCACUGAAACAACAGAGGUUAAGCAUGGAGACAUAUGAGACUAUGAAUUUGUCUAAUGCUGAAUGUGGAGACUAGUAUUACUAUACUAGUUAGAUGUCCUGGACAGGAAGCAGCAGAAAUUCAAAA